AUAUAGGACACGCGUACCUUGAUGUCUUGGAGCACGACACGCCCUCCUCUCUUGUUCUGGUACUUCAUCAGUUUUUCAGCAUGUUCCCGUUCUUCAUCUGAUGAAUUCUUGAAGAACUUGCUGAAUCCAGGAAGGGCCACAUCAUCUCUAUCGAAGUAGUAGGCCUAUAAUACACACGAGCAGACGACAUGAAUUUGUGCAUGCGUAUGUAUACACAUUUAUCCAUUGAACAUAUUAUUGAAAGACGUUCAAGGCCGAACAGGAAAUGUGUGCCGUUUUUAUAUCGUCAUUUUAAUAAUAACGAUGGUGUUCUAAAUUUCUGCAAAAAUCGCGACCUAGAUUCUAUAGAGAACAUUAUCAAAGCCAUAUUGUGUUACAUACCAUGGACUGGUAGGUAUAGCAGGCAUACAGUUCCAUGUUGAUUUGGCGGUUGAUGCCAGCUUCGCUCUCCUGGUGGUAAUUUUGGCGACAUUGGGAUUCGGCCAUGGUGAAAGUUCCGAUGGUGAAAUAAUCUCUCAAGUAGGGAUGGAUUUAGGAGUAAGAUUUUUGUCCGUACGUUCACUGACGCAGCAAGACAAGUAAUGGCGAUACUCCGUCGGUCGUCUGCUUUUAUACCAUUUGCCUAUUUACAACGGGGUCAUAGUUCAUUGAUUAGAUUUGUCAAAAUGAACGAUAAUUUUGAAGUGUACAAUCGUUGAGUACACAUUUUGUUGUCAGAUGAUGAUUUAGUCAAUAAACAUGAGAUG
rnacentral:sRNA from 1 species